rnacentral:rRNA from 1 species
UACGUAGGGGGCAAGCGUUAUCCGGAUUUACUGGGUGUAAAGGGAGCGUAGACGGCGAUGCAAGUCUGAAGUGAAAGGCGGGGGCCCAACCCCCGGACUGCUUUGGAAACUGUAUGGCUGGAGUGCAGGAGAGGUAAGUGGAAUUCCUGGUGUAGCGGUGAAAUGCGUAGAUAUUAGGAGGAACACCAGUGGCGAAGGCGGCUUACUGGACUGUAACUGACGUUGAGGCUCGAAAGCGUGGGGAGCAAACAGG